rnacentral:rRNA from 1 species
UACGUAGGGGGCAAGCGUUGUCCGGAAUUAUUGGGCGUAAAGCGCGCGCAGGCGGCGCGUUAAGUCCGGUGUUUAAAUUCGGGGCUCAACCCCGGAACGCACCGGAAACUGGCGGGCUUGAGUGCAGAAGAGGAAAGUGGAAUUCCACGUGUAGCGGUGAAAUGCGUAGAGAUGUGGAGGAACACCAGUGGCGAAGGCGACUUUCUGGGCUGUAACUGACGCUGAGGCGCGAAAGCGUGGGGAGCAAACAGG